UAAAUGAUGUAUCAUUUUUAGGCAUUCUGUUAUCAAAUGGCUUAAAAGAUAGUGCAUAUAGCUGCUGUAAGUGGAGAAUUGCACC